ACCGGAAUGUUUUUAUAGUUUCUUAUUUAAUACCCCGUCCAGCUGGUGGCGGUAAUGCACCGUUAACUUUGGAUGCCAACCGCGGUUAAACCUUAAACCCCAUCGAAGAAGAAGUAGACCGCUCCAGCCCACGUUACACCACCCCAUUCCCGAAAAUGGAUCGCUCCUACAGACAGUGAGUCACGUGACCUGCUAUAUAAAGCUGCCAAGGCAGACAGGCAGGCAAGCUAUACUGCUCGAUUGAACGUAACAAUGGGUAAAACGAGUGACCUAAGGGACUUUGAGCGUGGUAUGAUCGUAGGUGCCAGGCGCGCCGGAUCAAGUGUCUCAGAAACGGCCGCCCUCCUGGGCUUUUCACGCACGACAGUUUCUAGAGUUUACCGAGAAUGGUGUGACAAACAAAAAACAUCCAGUCAGCGGCAGUCGUGUGGGCGAAAACAACUAGUUGAUGAGAGAGGUAGAAUGAGAAUGGAAAGAAUCGUGAAAGCUAACAGGCGGGCCACAAACAGACAAAUAACAGCGCAGUACAACAGUGGUGCGCAGAACGGCAUCUCGGAACGCACAACUCGUCGAUCCUUGUCACGGAUGGGCUACAGCAGCAGACGACCACGUCGUGCAAAUGAGGAGUGGAAAAACAUCGCCUGUGUAGAUACGGUACGGGAACUUGUCCUGGACAACUGUAGCUCAAAUGAAGGAAAAAUUGAAGGUCUUACAGCAGAAUUUGUCAGUCUGGAAUUCCUCAGUUUGAUAAACGUUGGUUUAAUCUCUGCCUCCAACCUUCCCAAACUUGAGAAACUCAAGAAGUUGGAACUCAGUGACAACAGAAUCUCUGGUGGCCUUGACGUGCUAGCAGAGAAACUCCCCAACCUCACACAUCUAAAUCUAAGCGGGAAUAAACUGAAAGACAUCAGCACGUUGGAACCUUUGAAAAAGCUGGACAGCCUGAAGUCUCUAGACUUGUUCAACUGUGAGGUGACCAACCUGAACGACUACAGGGAGAGUGUGUUCAAGCUGCUCCCUCAGCUCACCUACCUGGACGGGUACGACGCGGAGGACCGAGAGGCAUCCGACUCGGACGGAGAGGUGGCCGGUGACGACGAUGAGGGUGGGCAGCCAUUUAGUUUUCUUGUUGCGGGAAUACGAGGAAGUGCAGAUAAGGGAAUGAGGAUGGAAAGGAGGAACACUUUGACAAGGACUGUGAUGAAGAGGGAGUAGUAGGAGAGGAGGAGGAGGAGGAAGACCUCGGCAUUGAUGAUGAAGUUGACGAUGAUGAGGACAACGAUGAAGAUGAAGUCAAGGCUGUCCAAGGAGAGAAGAGAAAGCGAGAGCCUGACGACGAUUAAGAGCAAAAAUCGAAAGCAUAGCGUUACCAACUCCUUCCCUCUCCACUAGUAGUUACUUAGGAUGAGCCUUGACUAGAAUACAGUAUAUACAUAUGAAGUGGGUAAAACAGAAUGUAAACAUUAUUAAAGUGACCAGUGUUGAAAGACUAUGUACAUACGGCAGAAGUCUAAGGUGCAGGGUUGAGUAUCGGGGGGUAGCCGCCUAGUAACAGUGACUAAGUUCAGGGCAGGGUACUAGGCGGAGGCCAGCUAGUGGUGACUGAGUAACAGUCUGAUGGUCUGGAGAUGGAAGUUGUUUUUCAGUCUCUCGUUCCCAGCUUUGAUGCACCUGUACUGUCUUCGCCUUCUAGAUGGUAGCGGGUUAAACAGGCCUUGGCUCGGGUCCUUGAUGAUCUUCUUGGCCUGUGACACUGGGUGCUGUAAAUGUCCUGGAGGGUAGACCGUGUGCCCCCUGGUGAUGCGUUGGGCUAACCUCAUCACCCUCUGGAGAGCCUUGCGGUUGCGAACUGUGCAAUUGCCGUACCAGGCGGUGAUGCUCUCAAUGGUGCAUCUGUAGAAGAUUGUGAGGGUAUUAGGGGUCAAACCAAAUUUCUUCAGCCUUGUCAUACGUUUUUUUCGUACUGAACGCAGCCCUGGAGAUUUCUACUCCCAAACUAAUGAAAAUAAAAUGGUGACACCAUUAAAAUAUAAUUUUCCCCAUCCAAAAAUGAGCCAAACAACAUAUUGGUCCAUAUUAUCAUGCUGGUGUUAUUUGGCAGUAAGCAUCAUCACCCCAAUUUCUAUCAAUAAGGAAAUGGGAUGGGACCAUUUUAUGAGUGCUUUUCCCCCAUAAAUGAGGAGAGGUUGCUGCUGCUGGUCAGUCUGAGACUGGCAGGCUGCUCAUAUUUAAGGGAAGGGCUACUUUAAAAAAAAAGACAUGUUACGAGCUACAAAAAAAUUUUCUGGCUUUCAAACAGGCACGUUCUUCUCUUUUCUUCCCUGCAACUCUUCUCCAGGUCCUUAGUGUACAAGAGGAAGUAGUGUGCCCCCCCCAGAUUUUGUUUUAUAUUUUUUUGAGUGGCUGUUUGAUUUUAAGUCAAAACUAUGUAAAUACCUGAAAAUGUUUGUUUAGCAACAAUCAACAGCAACAGGGGUGUUUCUACAAGUAUUUCAUUUUCAAUAAAUUUGCAAACAUUUCUAAACCUGUUUUCACUUGGUCAUUAUGGGGUAUUGUGUGUAGAUGGGUGAAGGGAAAAAUUAUUUUUAUCCAUUUUGAAUUCAAGCUAACACAAUGUGGAAUAAGUCAAGGUGAAUGAACACUGUAAAUAGUGUGAUAUUACACUUUCUACGAUCUUUAAACAUACCAAUGUUUAAUGUUUAAAUGUUUUGUAUUGCAACAGUUGUGAAAGACAAUGACAUACAAUUUUUGGUGAAUUAUUCAUGUGUUACAUAGUGUGUUAGGCAUCUGUGAUAAGUUGAUGUAAUAGAUCAUCUAUUAUUCAGGUUCCCCUAGUACCCGAGUCCUUGAUUGAUGAACCUGACAAGGAAUCAUCUAACAAUUCAAAAUAUCAGACGUGAGUCACAUUUGAAAUAUAUUGAAUUCUAUUUUUCUCUAUGCCAGGCUAUGAAGAAGACAAAUGACAUUGACUCCUGAGGUGUUGAACUGAUGCUCAUAGCAACCCUGGUUAUUAUCUAUGAACGUUGGAACAUCUUGAAUAUCGAUAAGGCCUCAAUGGUCACAUGUACUAUUAAAUCUGCACCCAGCACAGCUAGAAAGGACUAGCCACCCCUCAGAGCCUGGUUCCUCUGCACCCAGCACAGCUAGAAAAAAACUAGCCAACCCCCAGAGCCUGGUUCCUCUGCACCCAGCACAGCUAGAAAGGACUAGCCACCCCUCAGAGCCUGGUUCCUCUGCACCCAGCAUAGCUAGAAAGGACUAGUCACCCACCAGAGCCUGGUUCCUCUGCACCCAGCACAGCUGGGUAUUAUGUUACAGGUGAGACAUACCCAGAAAUUGUCAACGUCUUGUCGAGCUCUCAAACACCGGCCUUAUGGAUAAAACGACUACAUUAGCUUGGAGGAGCUGAAAGUGAGUUGUAUUGAGAAAAAAAAAUGCUCUUUGCUGUCAGACCCAGGCAAUCAUGUAGCUCCAAUUCACAAGAAUGGGUUUACAGUGCAGUGGUGAAAGCAGUUUAUAUGAGCUCUACACAGCAUUGGGAAUUCAAACAUAAAAUGAUAUAUAUUUGAUCCAAUUACACAUUCAAUACUGUUACAAAAACAUGCACUAAAGCAUGUCAAGAUCAAUAUAAUUACUUCAAGGUUUCGCAAACAUAACUGUCUAGUUGAUGUUUUACCCUGCUGAGUUUCCUAUUUACUAAAGAACAAUCAUUCAGAAAACACAAGUUGUAAUAUCUGUAUAUAUGUCAUACUAUAUUGAAAACAUACAUUCUGAAAGAGUAUGUUGAUGUGAUGAGACCAUUUUAUUCAGGUCAUUUUAGGAUAACUAUUUAUUUUACUUAAAUGUUUGUAUUUAUGUUGUCUUAUACCAUGCUAAUACUUUACCAAGCAAUUUGGAGUGAACCCCAAAACUGGUGUGUCUUUUUGGAUCAAGAUUUGAUCCAGAAUACCAAAAGGCAUGAUCAGAUCCUCUUUCCUAUUCAGGCAUCAUCUAAUGCACAGCCACAUGCAAAUCCUCUGCCAAUAAAACAUUAAAAACCUUAACGUGA